AUUGAACGCUGGCGGCAUGCCUUACACAUGCAAGUCGAACGGUAACAGGUCUUCGGAUGCUGACGAGUGGCGAACGGGUGAGUAAUACAUCGGAACGUGCCUAGUAGUGGGGGAUAACUACUCGAAAGAGUGGCUAAUACCGCAUGAGAUCUACGGAUGAAAGCAGGGGAUCGCAAGACCUUGUGCUACUAGAGCGGCCGAUGGCAGAUUAGGUAGUUGGUGGGAUAAAAGCUUACCAGGCCGACGAUCUGUAGCUGGUCUGAGAGGACGAUCAGCCACACUGGGACUGAGACACGGCCCAGACUCCUACGGGAGGCAGCAGUGGGGAAUUUUGGACAAUGGGCGAAAGCCUGAUCCAGCAAUGCCGCGUGCAGGAUGAAGGCCUUCGGGUUGUAAACUGCUUUUGUACGGAACGAAAAGCCCUGGGUUAAUACCCUGGGGUCAUGACGGUACUGUAAGAAUAAGCACCGGCUAACUACGUGCCAGCCGCCGCCGUAA
rnacentral:rRNA from 1 species